rnacentral:rRNA from 1 species
UACGAAGGGGGGCUAGCGUUGCUCGGAAUCACUGGGCGUAAAGGGUGCGUAGGCGGGUCUUUAAGUCAGGGGGUGAAAGCCCAGAGCUCAACUCUGGAACUGCCUUUGAAACUAGAGGACUUGGGUACGGGAGAGGUGAGUGGAAUUCCGAGUGUAGAGGUGAAAUUCGUAGAUAUUCGGAAGAACACCAGUGGCGAAGGCGGCUCACUGGCCCGUUACCGACGCUCAGGCGCGACAGCGUGGGGAGCAAACAGG